ensembl:lncRNA LINC00662 long intergenic non-protein coding RNA 662
GGCCGCCCUGUGACUAACGGCUGGAACCGCCUAAGACACCACCCCAGCCAGCAUGGCCGGCAGGAGCGCACCGCGCUGUCUCCCUCCAGGGAUCCGCACCGCCCUACAAUCCUGCUUUGUGCUGAGAUUGUAGUCCUGCAGGCGUACAACUAACAAGCUGGGUGCAGAUAAGAGACUACAGCUCCCCGCAUCCCAAGCAAAGGUCCCUCCUCUACGGAGCCCCUCCACGCGUCCACUGCGGUUCCGCCGUGCCAAGGGGAGCUUGGCUGUUCACGGGCCUCACCUGCUAGCGAGAAGAUAGCUUGGCCGGGCGGCUGAUCUCACCUUGUAAUUCUGACACUGUGUCUCCCGGGCUUGUCGGCUUCAUGACUUGUGCCCAAAGUUUGAUUUCUCGCAGACCAGGAGGACCCAUUGGACCCCCGGGCUGGCUGCAGGGCCCACACCUGGGUUAGACCUCGCACAGGGACGCUGCUGCCACUGUAAUAAAGCGUGCCUACACGCUUCUGAAACUGGUGUAGGAACAACCUCAGUUCUGUGAAAGGCGGACGCAGCAGGACAGAAUCUCCGUGGACAUCUGUCUGGAGGAGCAAUUUUACUGCGACAUUUUAAAGAAACAAAUUUAAUUGAUUUCCAAGGCUGGAGUGUGACAAAGGAAAAUCUAAAAGGUCAACUUCAUUUACAGGAAAGAGCAUAGGAAAACAGACAAAAGAACAAAGAAGAAAAACAAUAGCAAGUCACUCUAAGUACUGUGGAAAUAAACUAAAUGUCAGGUUAGGAAUAGAACAGUGAAAGAAGGUCCCAGUAGUCCCAAGGACUCGGGAGGCUGAGACACGAAGACUGCCCAGGUGAGACUACAGAGACUGAAGUUGCAGUGAAUCAUCACAUCCUGCUACUGGACUUGAACAGUACUGCUGCUGAUGAGAGCCAUCUGGGCGACCUUCGACAUGGCAAGGUGCGAGCCAUCUGAUCAGCCUUAGACAUGGCAAGGCAAGAGCCAUCUGGUCAACCUUAGAAGUGACAAGGGACAGCCACCUGGUCGACCUUUGACAUGGCAGGAUGACAGCCAUCUGGUCGACCUUAGAGAUGGGAAUGCAAGAGGCUUCAGGUCCACCUUCAACAUGG